rnacentral:rRNA from 1 species
AGAGCGAACGCUGGCGGCAGGCCUAACACAUGCAAGUCGAGCGCCCCGCAAGGGGAGCGGCAGACAGGAGAGUAACACGUGGGAACGUACCCUUCAGUUCGGAACAACCCAGGGAAACUUGGGCUAAUACCGAAUACGUCCGUAAGGAGAAAGAUUUAUCGCUGAAGGAUCGGCCCGCGUCUGAUUAGCUUGUUGGUGAGGUAACGGCUCACCAAGGCGACGAUCAGUAGCUGGUCUGAGAGGAUGAUCAGCCUCACUGGGACUGAGACACGGCCCAGACUCCUACGGGAGGCAGCAGUGGGGAAUAUUGGACAAUGGGCGCAAGCCUGAUCCAGCCAUGCCGCGUGGGUGAUGAAGGCCCUAGGGUUGUAAAGCCCUUUCGGCGGGAAGAUAAUGACGGUACCCGCAGAAGAAGCCCGGCUAACUACGUGCCAGCAGCCGC